UACGUAGGGGGCAAGCGUUGUCCGGAAUCAUUGGGCGUAAAGCGCGUGUAGGCGGUUCGGUAAGUCUGCUGUGAAAGUCCAGGGCUCAACCCUGGGAUGCCGGUGGAUACUGUCGGACUAGAGUACGGAAGAGGCGAGUGGAAUUCCCGGUGUAGCGGUGAAAUGCGCAGAUAUCGGGAGGAACACCAAGUGCGAAGGCAGCUCGCUGGGACGUUACUGACGCUGAGACGCGAAAGCGUGGGGAGCAAACAGG
rnacentral:rRNA from 1 species